rnacentral:rRNA from 1 species
UACGGAGGGGGCUAGCGUUGUUCGGAAUUACUGGGCGUAAAGCGCACGUAGGCGGUUUUUUAAGUUAGAGGUGAAAGCCCGGAGCUCAACUUAGGAAUUGCCUUUAAGACUGAAUCACUUGAACGUGGGAGAGGUGUGUGGAAUUCCGAGUGUAGAGGUGAAAUUCGUAGAUAUUCGGAAGAACACCAGUGGCGAAGGCGGAUCCCUGGACGACUGUUGACGCUGAGGUGCGAAAGCGUGGGGAGCAAACAGG